AUUGAACGCUGGCGGCAGGCCUAACACAUGCAAGUCGAGCGAGCGGCGGACGGGUGAGUAAUGCCUGGGAAUUGCCCAGUCGAGGGGGAUAACAGUUGGAAACGACUGCUAAUACCGCAUACGCAUUGCUUGCCAAGGUGGGAUUAGCUCGUUGGUGAGUUAAUGGCUCACCAAGGCGACGAUCCCUAGCUGGUCGGAGAGGAUGAUGAGCCACACUGGAACUGAGACACGGUCCAGACUCCUACGGGAGGCAGCAGUGGGGAAUAGUGCACAAUGGGGGAAACCCUGAUGCAGCCAUGCCGCGUGUGUGAAGAAGGCCUUCGGGUUGUAAAGCACUUUCAGCGAGGAGGCGGUACUCGCAGAAGAAGCACCGGCUAAAUCCGUGCCAGCCGCCGCGGUAAUUC
rnacentral:rRNA from 1 species